CUCAAAUAUCGAACAAAGAAGUUGUGAGGCUCAAAGGUGUAGUUAAAAAACGACUAAAGUAUCGAACAAAGGGUGUACUUUGUUCGAGGGCUCCAGAGAAAGGAGUCGAG